rnacentral:rRNA from 1 species
UUUGGACAAUGGGGGCAACCCUGAUCCAGCAAUGCCGCGUGAGUGAAGAAGGCCUUCGGGUUGUAAAGCUCUUUUGUCAGGGAAGAAACGGUUUUGGCUAAUAUCCAGAGCUAAUGACGGUACCUGAAGAAUAAGCACCGGCUAACUACGUGCCAGCAGCCGCGGUAAU